rnacentral:rRNA from 1 species
UACGUAGGUGGCAAGCGUUGUCCGGAUUUACUGGGCGUAAAGAGCGCGCAGGCGGCUGGUCAAGUCCGAUGUGAAAGCUCCCGGCUUAACUGGGAAACGGCAUCGGAAACUGAUCGGCUUGAAGGUGGGAGAGGGUAGUGGAAUUCCCGGUGUAGUGGUGAAAUGCGUAGAUAUCGGGAGGAACACCAGUGGCGAAGGCGACUACCUGGCCCACUCUUGACGCUGAGGCGCGAAAGCUAGGGGAGCGAAC